rnacentral:rRNA from 1 species
GUCCAGACUCCUACGGGAGGCAGCAGUGGGGAAUAUUGCACAAUGGGGGAAACCCUGAUGCAGCGACGCCGCGUGAGCGAUGAAGUAUUUCGGUAUGUAAAGCUCUAUCAGCAGGGAAGAAAAUGACGGUACCUGACUAAGAAGCCCCGGCUAACUACGUGCCAGCAGCCGCGGUAAUACGUAGGGGGCAAGCGUUAUCCGGAUUUACUGGGUGUAAAGGGAGCGUAGACGGCUGUGCAAGCCAGAUGUGAAAGCCCGGGGCUCAACCCCGGGACUGCAUUUGGAACUGUGUGGCUGGAGUGUCGGAGAGGCAGGCGGAAUUCCUAGUGUAGUGGUGAAAUGCGUAGAUAUUAGGAGGAACACCAGUGGCGAAGGCGGCCUGCUGGACGAUGACUGACGUUGAGGCUCGAAAGCGUGGGGAGCAAACAGGAUUAGAUACCCUGGUA